CAUGGCGAUGUCAAUAUUUAAAAACUGCCUUUGACAUGGAAAAGUGCUUAGCACCACGCCAGGGUCUGGCAUGACGUACGCACUUUUGCUUGUCUGAUUGCUGCAGGAUUUUGGAAAUGUAAACCAUUCUUGCUGCUCAAAAAGCGUGCACAUGCGGAAUAAUAUUAUUUUAGUUUGGUCUCAGUCCUAUCAUGUAUCUUGGUGCUGCUGCUACGGUUUCGGAUAGGGGUCCUCAAUUUGUCUCUCAUUUCUGGCAGGAUUUCUGUAGACGGAUGCCUCUGCAAGCUUAUCUUCAGGUUUACACCCUCAGACCAACGGGAAAUGCGAAUGGGCUAACCGGGAUCUCGGUCAAGUCACAAUAUCCGAGCUCUUGGUGCCAACAGCUUCCUUGGGUCGAGAGCCCGAUGCGGCAGUUCCAGCUGCCCUUGCCUUCAUCCAACGCUGCAAGCGCACUUGGAGGAGGGCUAGAUCAGCCUUAUUACUGACUUACACACGAACCAAGGCUGCGGCUGACCACCACCAUCAACCCUCGCCCCGCUAUAUCUUUGGGCAGAAGGUAUGGCUAUCCUCCAAGGAUCUGCCUAUUCGAGAGCUCUCCCGGAAGUUGGCACCUCUGUUCCUUGGGCCAUACAGUAUCAUCAAGGUUGUCAGUGCAGUGGCGGUCAAGUUCAAGUUGCUCCCAGCUCUUGGUCAGGUUCACCCUCUUUUCCAUGUAUCCAGGGUUAAGCCUGUGUUUUUCGCUCAUGUUAAUCCAGUUCCCUCUGCUUUCCACCCCUGCCCUGCAGCUAGUGGAUGGUUACUAUAUGUAUGUUGUUGGGGCAGAUUUUUUUAAUAUUUAGUGGACUGGGAGAGCUAUGCCCCGGAGGAGAGGAGUUGGGUACCGCCCCGGGACAUCUUGGACCUUGGGUUGAUCUACAACCUUUUGCCGGUGGCAGUCGUAGAGCCUCCAGAUCUCUGCCACUCUCCCGGCGAGAUUUAUCCAUCCCCGGGCGAGUUUCUUCUGGCUUUCAUUGCCACUACCCAGUCCAUCUCUACGAUUAUCCUCAUCAUAUCUCCCUGGCAUUGGUCCUGUGGUUCUCGGAAUAUCUCCCUGGCAUUAGUCCUGUGGUUAUCCGAAUCUCUACCUGGCGUCAGUCCUGUGGUUCUCUGAAUAUCUCCCUGGCAUUGGUCCUGUGGUCAUCCGUUUCUCUACCGGACAUUAUUCUCCUUGGUUUAAAUAAAGUGCUCUUUUACCUGCUAUUGGAUUAUUGUGUCAGUCUUUUCGUGACAUUCAUAUGAAAACUCUUAGAAUCCAAAUUUUCAAAUAGUUGUAUCUCAGCCAAAUAUUGUUCUAUCGUUUAUUGAUGAUGUAUAAAUUAUAUACAAUGCAGACAUAUGAAGUAGUUCCAUGUCUGCCGACUGCAUUACAGUUC